GCCCGGCCGAGUUUAGAGUUGAAAGGGAAA
rnacentral:piRNA from 1 species